UUUCUAGAACUACAGUGAAAUAAUAAUAGUAAUUUUAAAUGUUUUUUUACCUACUAAGUGCAAAGCACAUUCUAAAUGGAGACUGACAACUUUAAGAAGAUUCCUGGAGAAUGUAUUGUAGAUGAAUAAUGAUAUUCAAAUGUACCCUAACUCUACCUCUGGUGGAAAGGAUCAUUUAGAACAAUCUACCUGGAAAGACCUGAAACCAAGUCUGGGAGUAGCUGUGCCAAAAGAUCAUGUCACCCAGAAUGGACCAGAGGCAAGAGGUUGGAGCUGGAAGCUGGGACUGGGGACCAGGACAGGGGAGCCCAGAAGAAGCCUCUCCAUCUUGGGUGCCUCUGAAGCAUGAAGCAAAGACCUUCAUUGGAACGGGUGCAAGGAGAGUUCAUCUGGAGUCACUUUGGAGCCCGGGGGCACCUGGCAACGGAGACCCAAGACGGGGCCCCAAGAGAGAAAAAGCUUAAGAGCCUAACCACAGCACUCUCCUUAUGCAUGGUGGACAGAAUAGCAGGGGACCUUGAAGACAGCUUGAUAACUGAAGAACAUCUGGAGCCACAGAGAGCGGUACCCCUCAGGAAGCAGAUCCAGCAGAGAGCAGUGUGAUCACAAAACUACAUGACAUCAGCAGUUCUGUAGCAUUGGAGACAUGGGUUACCCCUCUAUGUGUAUACCCUGGCCACAUGGUUACCCUGAGUGUACCCGUACCCAGGUAUCCUGAUCACAUAUGUUUCCCAAGUGUGAAUCCUGUGAAUCCUUCCUUUAAGUGAAUCCCAUGCAUGGCCCCUGUUCCCACUAAAGAUAUGUGUAUUUGUAAGAGAACUCUAGGUUUCUGAGGAAAAUGUUCCAUUGUUUUUAAUAUUACUAUGCUAUUUCAUAUGCCUAUUUUCCCAAUUAUAUAAAAUUUUUGUGAGAAUAAAAUAUAUACAUUUAUCGAGGAUGACUAUAUUAGGAAGAAUAGACAGGCUUUCCAAACCAAUAUUCCAUAGUAUACCACAUCCUAAUGAUCACACAGAUGAGUAAAGAUGUAGAAAACCCAAGAAUCAAUCUACUGUUAAUCAACUAAGCAAGAAAGCAGAUACCAGUUUAACACUUACUAUGUGCCAAGCACGGUGUUAGUGAGCUAGGAAAAUAAAAAUGGUCUCUGCCCUCAAGGGGCUUACAUUCUAAUGGAGAGAGACAACAUAUAAAGUGUAUAUCUGUGCAAAGUUGUUACAAGACAGGGUAGCUAGGUGGUGCAGUGGAUGGAGCACCAGCCCUUAAG